GCCGGGAAGUACCUAGAAUGUGCGUGUGGUGCAGUGCACACGACCCGAAUUCGGUUAAUUUUGGAUAAAUAUUGGAGGCAAAUGUUGAAUGCAGCUAAACCCGACAAUAACUUUGCCCGCUAAGCAGUCGAGGCCCGAGAGGAAUCGGGUGAACAGUCUCUCAAGUUUCACGGCAUUGCCUGCAUCGAUGUCGGGUGCAGGAGGGACCUGAUAUGCUGUCAAAUUUCUGCUUAUUGCACCACACGAUGAUUGUUAAUAAAGGGGAGUCUAGCCAACUGCUGUGCCUAGUCUACGUGUCCAGAUGUGUCGACGUUUACCUCAGC